rnacentral:rRNA from 1 species
UACGUAGGGUGCGAGCGUUUGUCCGGAAUUAUUGGGCGUAAAGGGCUCGUAGGCGGUUUGUCGCGUCGGGAGUGAAAUCCACUGGCUUAACUGGUGGCUUGCUUUCGAUACGGGCAGACUGGAGGUAUGCAGGGGGAGAACGGAAUUCCUGGUGUAGCGGUGAAAUGCGCAGAUAUCAGGAGGAACACCGGUGGCGAAGGCGGGUCUCUGGGCCGAUACUGACGCUGAGGAGCGAAAGCGUGGGGGAGCGAACAGG